AUUCUUUUGUUUAUUACGGCCAUUGGUUUUUCUGCGCCUUUUCUUCAGUUAUUACGGCCUUUUAGUUUUCUUCAUUUCCUUGAUUUAAUUAUACGCGUGCAAAUCUCUUUUCACGAUUUGCACCUGUUGGCGUUCUAUUUAAACCCCCAGCAAACCGGUAAGCUUUGCUUUAGUGUCACUUGCGUUACAUGAAAGCCGGUAACUUGGUCUGUUUGUGUAUGCAGGGAACCUUCAUGAGAAAGACCUGAGGAGGUGUGGAAGGCAAAGCCAAAAGGACGAUUCCAGAGGUGUCAGUGACUGUAGAGGGAGAAUGCUGGUGCUCUUGGCUGGGGACGCAGGACAUUCCACUGGCCCUGGAUUACGGAGGACACAUAUUUAAAUUGUACCUGCCCUGAAUGGGGAACUUCUGAAGUUAACCAAACCCGUUACUGUUUAGAUUUUUAUUUCUCUUGAAGUUUGGGGAAAAGUAAAGACUGAGAAUGCAGUGUUUCAUCACUUUUUGUUAGCUACUUUUUCUAUACUUUACUUUUGUAUGAUGAGUAUGAUGUAUAACAAUAUGUAUGUUUCUUAACUUAUGAAAGUGUCACCAAAAAUCAAACACAAAAACACCAUCUGAGUCCUUUGUGCUUGACUGAGGACAGCACAAUGAGACCAGAUUGUUCAAUAAAUCAGCUUAACCUGAAAUCCGAGGAGACGAACAUACACACGUGUUUGAUCCAUGAAUGUUCCUCCCAGCCCAGCUGUUCACAG